AUUAAGCACUCCGCGUGGGGAGUACGACCCGCAAGGUUGAAAACUCAAAAGGAAUUGACGGGGACCCGCACAAGCGGUGGAGCAUGUGGUUUAAUUCGAAGCAACGCGAAGAACCUUACCAAAUCUUGACAUCCUUUGACAACUCUAGAGAUAGAGCCUUCCCCUUCGGGGGACAAAGUGACAGGUGGUGCAUGGUUGUCGUCAGCUCGUGUCGUGAGAUGUUGGGUUAAGUCCCGCAACGAGCGCAACCCUUAAGCUUAGUUGCCAUCAUUAAGUUGGGCACUCUAAGUUGACUGCCGGUGACAAACCGGAGGAAGGUGGGGAUGACGUCAAAUCAUCAUGCCCCUUAUGAUUUGGGCUACACACGUGCUACAAUGGACAAUACAAAGGGCAGCGAAACCGCGAGGUCAAGCAAAUCCCAUAAAGUUGUUCUCAGUUCGGAUUGUAGUCUGCAACUCGACUACAUGAAGCUGGAAUCGCUAGUAAUCGUAGAUCAGCAUGCUACGGUGAAUACGUUCCCGGGUCUUGUACACACCGCCCGUCACACCACGAGAGUUUGUAACACCCGAAGCCGGUGGAGUAACCAUUUGGAGCUAGCCGUCGAAGGUGGGACAAAUGAUUGGGGUGAAG
rnacentral:rRNA from 1 species